CCCUUAGAUGUUCUGGGCCGCAUGCGCGCUACACUGAUGCAUUCAACGAGCCUAUCCUUGACCGACAGGUCCGGGUAAUCUUUGAAUCUGCAUCGUGACGGGGAUAGAUUAUUGCAAUUAUUAAUCUUCAACGAGGAAUGCCUAGUAGGCGCAAGUCAUCAGCUUGCGUCGAUUACGUCCCUGUCCUUUGUACACACCGCCCGUCGCUCCUACCGAUUGGGUGUGCUGGUGAAAUGUUCGGAUCGGCCGUUUGUCGCGGUUUCCGCGGCUCGUGGCUGAGAAGUUCAUUAAACCCUCCCACCUAGAGGAAGGAGAAGUCGUAACA
rnacentral:rRNA from 1 species